AAACACGCGUCAAAACAACUCGUAUCAAUCAGGUAGCCAAGAGACUUAAUUGGUUUGUUUGAAAGUCAAUACAGACACUCUUGUUUAUUAUUAUUGGUGCUGAGCUUGACAUGGAAUGUGUGAGACACGCCCCACACAAACACACACAAUCAACGGCAGCAGCUGUUUGCACUAAGUGUGUUUUUCACCAGCAUGUUACUGCCUGCAGAACAGCAGGCCCUGAUACUCCUGGUCUGGAGAAACAAAAAUAUGAUCAUAUUAUGGCCUUAAUGAGCCAAUAUAGAGAUUUUGCAACUACUAACUAAAAAAAAAAAUCACUGAAUUUAUUUAGCCCAUAUUUAUGGAUAAUUGCUGUCUGGAACCUGGAAUUACUUCAUUAUUAAUUUAUAUCCUGAAAACAGCAGAACAAACAUAAUUAUUCUGGGAAAGCAGUGAUUGGUUCACUGAUAUGCAUUGAAAUAGUGCUGGAUCAUAUGCAUUCAGAAGUAACACUGCUGUUUUUCUGAUUGUAGUGCCAACCCAAGCCUGAAGGGCUGAUAUGAACAGAGAGGGGGAGACUACACCCUCCUGCAACCCAACAGAAUGAUCUGUCAAUGAGACCAGAGUCAGUCCCCUCCCCCACACUGAAAGAUGACCAAUCACAGUCAGUCCCAUCUCCCUGACUCACUGAAAGAUGACCAAUCACAGUCAGUCCCAUCACCCUGAUUCACUGAAAGAUGACCAAUCACGAUCCGUCCCAUCCCCCUGAUUUACAGAUCAAAAAAAGUAUUUGUGAGCAUGUGUAAUUGUAAAGAUGUCUUAUUGGACGUAUAUUGUAAAAAGUGAAAAGUAUGUUUGUGCCACAUUAAACAUUAUACUGCUGGUUUCAAACCACAUUCAAUCUUCUUCUGUUAGCUCAAGGAAUUGAUGUAAAGCUAAUUUAAGUGCAGCACUGUCCUCUGCCUGACACCUUAGCGAGAGGGAGGGUGAGCAAGAGAGAUGGUGAGAGUGAGAGACAGAGAGAGAUAAAGAGAGAGAAAGAGAUUUGGAGUAUUUGGAGAUUUGGUGGAGCUUGGGUGGAGGCUGCUCUCCUGGCCCGGGUGGAGGCUGCUCUCCUGGCCUGGGUGGAGGUUCAGAGCUCAUAAAGGAGGCUGUUUACUGCUGGCCAGAGCGGUUAGUAGCAAGAAAGGGAGUCAGACAGAAGGCCCCUGUUGAAAUGAAAAAGGUGAAAAAAGAGAAAUGGGGGGGGGGGUAAAGGUUAUUUCACAUAAGUCCACACUGCCAUUUGACCACAGGACCCUGAAAUGUAUGUACCUGCCAUAAGACGCACAGAAUAACUGAUCAUCUUUACUGACAUGUUUCUGUCCAGUUGUUUUUCUGUGACUAAAUGUGUUUUCUUACCGUAACCAUGAGCUUUGUACUUAUUCCAGUAUGUGUAAAUACCCAGAAUGCAUUAUUUCUAUUACAUUGUAAUAAUAAUAAUAAUAAUAAUAAUAAUAAUAAUAAUACAUUUUAUUUAUAUAGCACCUUUCCAGAGGCCAAGGUUGGUUGACAGAGCAAAAGGUUAAAAAACAGCAAGUACAGUAAAUACAGAAGGCAAAAUGUAUACACAGAAGGCAGUACAAGAUAACAUACAAACAACAAAUAUACAUAGCAAGGCAAUAGAGAAGCUAACGGUUAACUUAUGCUGAAGAGGUGGGUCUUCAGUAGGGAUUUAAAAUUAUUUACACUCUCUGUUUCCCUGAUUUUCAUUGGAAGAGGAUUCCACAGAGAGAGGGCAACCACAGAGAAACUCUGUCUCCAAACAUAUGUGGGUGGGUCUUAGGGAUAGUGAGUAGAGUGCCAGUAUUAGGGGAGCGGAGGAUGCGAGGGGGAGUGUACACAGCAAAUGAGUGAUGCACGGAGGGGCCAGGUCAUUGAGAGCUUUGUAGGUGAGAAAAAUAAUUUUGCAAUUUAUACAUGCCUUGGGAAGCCAGUGUAGGUUUUUUAGAGUGGGUGUGAUGUGUUGCCAGGAUCCAGUGUGAGUUACUGUAGCAUUCUCGCUGCUGAGUUUUGGACCUGUUGCAGUUUAGUCAGUAGGGUAUUAGGGAGGCCGUAGAGUAAGGAACAGAAAUCAAGAUGGGUGGUAAUAAAUAAUCUGAAUUAAUUCGGCAGUGGAGGUGGAUAGUGAAGGACAAAGGUGAGCAAUAUUUCUAAGGUGAAAAAAUGAUGUUUUUACCAGAUAAUUGACAUGAGGUUGAAAAGUCAUUGUGUGACUGUUCCUUUCAUCCUCAUGCAACUAUUGAAAGUUUUCUAUGAUUGGUGCUAAAACAAUAAAGCUUUGUGCUCAAAGAAUA